UACGUAGGGUGCAAGCGUUGUCCGGAAUUAUUGGGCCUAAAGAGCUCGUAGGCGGUCUGUUGCGUCGGCUGUGAAAACCCGGGGCUCAACUCCGGGCCUGCAGCCGAUACGGGCAGACUAGAGUUCGGCAGGGGAGACUGGAAUUCCUGGUGUAGCGGUGAAAUGCGCAGAUAUCAGGAGGAACACCGGCGGCGAAGGCGGGUAGCUGGGCCAAAACUGACGCUGAGGCGCGAAAGCUAGGGUAGCAAACGGG
rnacentral:rRNA from 1 species